GAUGAACGCUGGCGGCGUGCUUAACACAUGCAAGUCGAACGGUGAACGAGGGAGCUUGCUCCCUCCGGAUCAGUGGCGAACGGGUGAGUAACACGUGAGCAAUCUGCCCUGGACUCUGGGAUAAGCGUUGGAAACGACGUCUAAUACCGGAUACGAGACGCGAAGGCAUCUUCAGAGGCUGGAAAGAACUUCGGUCCAGGAUGAGCUCGCGGCCUAUCAGCUAGUUGGUGAGGUAACGGCUCACCAAGGCGACGACGGGUAGCCGGCCUGAGAGAGUGACCGGCCACACUGGGACUGAGACACUGCCCAGACUCCUACGGGAGGCAGCAGUGGGGAAUAUUGCACAAUGGGCGCAAGCCUGAUGCAGCAACGCCGCGUGAGGGACGACGGCCUUCGGGUUGUAAACCUCUUUUAGCAGGGAAGAAGCGAAAGUGACGGUACCUGCAGAAAAAGCACCGGCUAACUACGUGCCAGCAGCCGCCGUAA
rnacentral:rRNA from 1 species